CACCAUGUAAGACUUCCUUUUGUUCUUCCUUCAUCUUCUGCCCUGAUUGUGAGGCCUCCCCAGCCAUUUGGAACUGUCAACAGUUCUCAGUUUUUGGUCCCUGAGGAGCAGCAUCAUCAUCACCUAGGAACUUGUUAGAAAGGAUACUCUAGUCAUCUUCAUAUAAAAUGAUCAAGGUGAAGAAAUAUAAAAUGAUCAAGGUGAAGAAAAUAACCAAGGUGACUCCACUGAAAAACAAGCCCCUGUGACUCACUUUAUCAUUGAGACCUGGCUAAGAAAUGGGUGUAAGGAAAAAGAGGCCCACUAUGACACCGUGACAGGCUAAAGAGCCUUUUGAAUGGAAACUACAUAAAGCAUCAAGCCCCUGAAAAGAAUGACCAGACAAAAGUGCCACAAUCAAUUGAAUGUCUUUAGGAGAUACACUUUUCUUUUAAAAAGCGUGACGCUUUGAUGACUCAGUGGCAGGACAGGUGACAAAGGAAUGGCUGCCUGGAGGCUGUGCAUGGCAGGAGGAGACACCACAGUCUUCCCGCCCUGCCACCCGUCCCUGCCGCCUGACUGUGGAAGGAUGAAGGACACUUUUAGAAAUUUCCCUGCGCGGAGAUGCCAGGAAACCAAUCAUCGCCCAGCCACUUUGUGGGGCCAUUAGCAGAGCGUCAAACUCCAUCUUUGUUUAAACGAAAGCACAAAGAAAAUAAUUUUUCAUCUGAGGAAUCACCUUAAGAUCCCCAAAUGGAAAGUAAGGGGAGCAGUAAACCUCUCACUCCGGGUGGGCAGCUCUAACACAGGGCAUUAAGGUAAGAAGGUUAUUUAUGACAGAAGAAAGGAGACAGGAUUCCAAAGUGGGAGACGAAGGACAGAGGUGAUUGGAGCCUAGCUUUAUCCCCUGCCCCAUUCAAAUGCGGAGGGCAAUGACUUCCAUAAGAAACCAGGUGCCACACGUGACCCAAAGGCAAAAGCCUCACUUUAACUCCUUGAUAUGGUCUGGCUGUGUUCCCACCCAAAAUCUCAUCUGGAAUUGUAGUCCCCAUAAUCCCUGUGUGUGUCAAGGGCAGAACCAGGUGGAGGUAAUCGGAUCAUGGGGGCGUUUCCCCCAUGCUGUUCUCGUGAUAGUGAGUGAGUCUCACGAGAUCUGAUGGUUUAAUAAGCGUCUGGCAUUUCCCCUGCUGGCACUCAUUCUUUCUCCUGCUGUCCUGCGAAGAGGUGCCUUCUGCCAUGAUUGUUAGUUCCUGAGGCCUCCCCAGCCAUGCGAACUCUGUAGGCUAACCCAAGAAGAAUAAAGCAUCGGCUUCCCUGACAUGCUGCUCCCCCCAAAACAGAGUGCCAAUAUGAUUCCAAGGUUCUUAGCACACUGUAUAUUACCUCACUCCUCCUACAGGCUGUACAAGCAUGGCACCAACAUCUGCUCAGCCUCUCAAGAGGGCCUCAGGAAGCUUACAAUUGUGGUGAAAGGCCAAGAGGGGCAUGUCACAUGGUGAAAGCAGGAGCAAGGGGCACGGGGAGGUCCCAGACUUUUAAACAACCAGAUCUCCUGUGAACUACCUGAGCAAGAGCUCACUUAUCACCAAAAGGAUGGUGCUAAACCAUUCGUGAAAGAUCCACCUCCAUAAUCCAGUCACCUCGCCCCAGGCCCUACCUCUAACAAUGGAAAUCACAUUUCAACCUGAGAUUUGGAGGAGACAAACAUCCGAACUAUAUUAGCCAUUAUGACUAAAACGGCUAUAAACGUUUGAGUACAGGUUUUUGUGUGGAUUUAAGUGUUCAACUCAUUUGGAAAGAUACCAAGGAGUGCAAUUACUGGAUCGUAUGUGGUCUGGAACUGAACUUGCAAUUUCUCCAAGAUAUGUCGGUAUCUCUCUCCAUGCUGUGCUGCGUGGGCUUUGGGAGCGGUGAUGUGGACCAUUUGAAAUUGUCCUUGCUACCUCUUUAAUGCAUAUUUUUAUAUUUCUAUGCUCCACCCAAGUGCUGUAGUCUCUCAACUGCCUUCUUUUUGUUCUUCAGCUUUUAUGAAGCUAUUUUCAAGUGUGAGUAGUUGUCCAAAUUCAUGUUUCUUGAGGGAACAAGUGACUUGUUUGUAAGUUGACUUGUAUAUCUUUUUAUAGCUGAGAUUUUAUCCUGUGAUCUUACUAACUCAGGAAUUUUUUGGAGAUUCUUUGCAGUUUUCUAAGUAGAAUAACCAUAUUAUAUUUAUUAUUAUUUUCCUUCUUACUUUGGUUUUAAUUUGCUCUUUUUUUACAUGUUUUCUGAGUUAGAAACUUAGGUUAUUGAUUUGAUACCCUUAUUCCUUUAUAACAUAUGCAUUUGAUUGUGUAAGUUUUUCUCUAAGCACUGCUUUAGUGCAUCCCACAAAUUUUGAUCUGUUGUAUAUUUUUUAUUUACUUUAAUAUAUCUUCUAAUUUUCUUUUGACUUUAUCUUUGACCAAUGAAAUAUUCAGAAAUGUGUAAUUUCUAAAUAUUUGGGAGAUUUUCUAAAUAUUUCUCUGUUACUGCUUUCUAGUUCAACUCCACUAUGGUUAGAGAACACACUUUGAAUGUUUUAAAUCUGUUAAGAUUUGUUUUAUGACUUAAGACACAGUUGGUAUUUGUGAAUGUUUCAUGUGCACUUGAAAACAAUGUUUAUUCUGCUUUCAUUGGGUCAGGUGGUCUAAAAAUGGCAUUUAAGUUAAUUUGGUUGAUAGUGAUUUUCAGGUAUUAUAUAUCCUUCCUGAUUCCUGCCUAGUUGUUCUAAUGAUUACUGACAGAAGACUGUUGAAAUCUCCAAUUACACUAUUAUUUUUGUAUUUCUACCUUUACCUCUAUAAUUUUUGCUUUAGUAUUGUCACAAUAUUUUGUUGGGUGCAUACCAAUUUAGUAUAGCUAUGUAUUUUUGGUAGAUUGGCACUUUUAACCAUUAUACAAUGUCCCUCUUGGUCCUUGGUAACUUUCCUUCAUUGGAAUUCUACUUUUUUUGAUAUUAAUAUGACAAUUCUAGCAUUCUUUUGGUUAGUAUUUGCAUGGUAUGUCCUUUUCUAUUAUUUAGCUUUUAGCCAAGCUGAGUGUUUUUAUUUAAAAUGGGUUUCCUGCGACUAAAAAUCAUUCUAAUCUUAUUAGAUUAUCUAAUAACCUAAUUAUCUCUCUAUUGGCUGAACUUAGUCAUGGGAUAGAACCUACUUUCAGGGAAGGUUGCAUAAUACAGUCCUUUAUCUGGCCAUAUUGCCUGCACACUUAAAUGUAACCAUGCACCUGUAUAUACACACAUUCACAUAUAUCUGUGUUUUGUUUCUAAAGAAAAGGUGAGAGUGGGUGUUUGUAUAAGCAUCUAGCUAUUUCUGCUUUCAUAUGCUUUUGGUAUUUGUAAACUGUCUUUACCUGUAAAAUAAGGACAUUUCUAACCAUUAUUUCACUUCUAGAAUAAUUAAUUUAUCUGAUCAUUUUAUAUAACAUUUUAAGUGUCUUGUUAAUUUUUUUGUUGAAGUUAUUCAAUAUGUAUUGAAUAUAAAAACACAUCAUUCCUAGUAAAUUAUAGGGAGAUAAUUUUGUCUUUGUUUAAAAAAAUAAGCUUGCUUUCUCAAGGGGGGCUUAAUAUUUCAAAUUUCAUAGCAGCCAUUUAUUGUCAGCAACUUAAAGACUGUUUCUGUUUUAAGAAUACAUUUUUCUUCGAAAUAAAGUCAGAAAUUGGAGCAUCAGCCAUCUUACAUAUCUCCCCAUGCAGUAUAAAUUAAUUUCCAGACUUUCGGGGACAAACUUUCAUCCUAGAAAACCGGAGUGUCAGCAGUGAGCUAGGGAGAGCAGUGGGCUGUUACAUGACACCACUGUUCAAAGUGUCAGGUCACAUGUAGCACUUUAUGAGUUCCCCCUUUCCUGACUGAAACAAACUAUUUUAAUACAUUUCUAAAAAACCAAAAAAUACAAAAUACUCUUUUAAUACAACAUGCAUAUAUGUUUACUAUGACUAAAUAUAUUAUGCCUCUUCCUGUCAAACAGCAUCCAAUGUGGUGAAAUGAAAAACAAUAAAUCUGGGCUGGGUGUGGUGACUCAUGCCUGUAAUCCCAGCACUUUGGGAGGCUGAGGCGGGUGGAUCACCUGAGGUUGGGAGUUUGAGACCAGCCUGACCAAUGGGGAGAAACCCCGUCUCUACUAAAAAUACAAAAUUAGCUGGGCGUGGUGGCGCAUGCCUGUAAUCCCAGCUACUCGGGAGGUUGAGGCAGGAGAACUGCCUGAACCCGGGAGGUGGAGGUUGCAGGGAGCCAAGAUGGCACCAUUGCACUCCAGCCUGGGCAACAAGAGUGAAACCCCGUCUCAAAAAAAUAAAAACAAAAAUAAAAACAAAAACAGUAAAUAUUAUAUAUCAGCAUUUGUGAUAUUUAUUCCUUCUGUUUAGUUAUUUGCCUCUAGAUUGAAGCAUUCAAAACAGAAAAUUAUAUUCAGAGUAAAAACUCUUAGCUGGAUAAUGGAACCUAUCAUUUUAAGUUUUUCCUAUAUUUCCUAAAAAUACCUAUAUUAGGUAUAUUUUUUCCAAUAUUACUCCUUAUCUUUACCUUAGUUCCCUUUCAUUUUUGAUUGUCAUUGUGCUCUCAGCUACACCUGAAAAUUUCUCUGAUUUUUCCCAAGUUGGGAAAUUAAUCCACUUUAAAUUCCAUUAAAGUUUGAAACUCUUUUUCCAUUGUCUUGUGGUUUUAUUUGUACAUUUUAAUUUACUGUAAUUUUAAAAUGUCUCUUUCUAGUUUUGACAAAUGUCAUACUUUUCC
rnacentral:lncRNA from 1 species